GAACACUCCAUUGCUCUAGGAUGUUCCCUUUGCAUAAAACCUGCAGUGUCAUGCCAGGGGGAUUAGAGGCCAAGCAGCUGGGGCAGCCAAGUGCAGUCACAGUCAUAAAACCUGCUGGGAGCCAAGUCUUCUUUCAAUACACUUUAACUGCUAGAUGCAAAAGAUAGGAAAUGGAUCCCUUUCUCCCUGGAACUCUGCCAGCCUUGCAAAUACCGACACCUCUGCCAAGAAGCAUGGCCAAGACCUAGCACCAACCGCAGGCUGCCUCCAGUGGCAGCUGCCCACAGAAAGAUGGCCCGCGGCUUCCCUGUGCCUGACCCUGCUCGCCUAGCGCCUCCUUUAACGUGGUGGGUUUGGAGCGGGCCCUCCGUGCAGCCAGGACCCUGAGCA
rnacentral:lncRNA from 1 species